rnacentral:ncRNA from 1 species
UACCUGUUUGAUCCUGCCAGUAGCAUAUGCUUGUAUCAAAGCUUAAGCCAUGCAUGUCUAAGUACACACGGGUGGUACAGUGAAACUGCAAAUGGUUCAUUAAAUCAGUUAUGGUUCCUGUGGUCGCUCUUAAGAGCAAAAUAGCAUUCCCACAAUCCAGGAGGAAGCAGUUAAUGACCUGCUACACCACCUGGACACACACAAGUCUAUGGGGCCAGAUGGGAUCCACCUGAGAGUACUGAGGGAGCUGGCAGG